rnacentral:rRNA from 1 species
GCACAAGCGGUGGAUGAUGUGAUUAAUUCGAAGCAACGCGAAGAACCUUUACCAGGUCUUGACAUCCCCUGCAAAGCUAUGGAGACAUAGUGGAGGUUAUCAGGGAGACAGGUGGUGCAUGGUUGUCGUCAGCUCGUGUCGUGAGAUGUUGGGUUAAGUCCCGCAACGAGCGCAACCCUUAUUGCUAGUUACCAUCAUUGAGUUGGGGACUCUAGCGAGACUGCCAGUGAUAAACUGGAGGAAGUGGGGAUGACGUCAAAUCAUCAUGCCCCUUAUGACCUGGGCUACAAACGUGAUACAAUGGCUGAAACAAAGGGCAGCGAAGCAGUGAUGUGGAGCGAAACCCAAAAAAGCAGUCUCAGUUCGGAUUGAAGUCUGCAACUCGACUUCAUGAAGUCGGAAUCGCUAGUAAUCGCGGAUCAGAACGCCGCGGUGAAUACGUUCUCGGGGUUU